rnacentral:lncRNA from 1 species
GCUGUGAGAAAGUAAAAUUAAAAAUAGCAGUCAGGUCAAGGUAAGUGCAAAUGUAUCAGGAAAAGCCUGGAGCAACCAAAAGUUGUAUAGGAAUCAGGAAACGUGGCAAAUACGUCAUAAGAACCAGCAUUCAGGCUAAAUUCACGUCAUAAUUUCGGGCUUCUUCUAUCUUUCAGUUUUCAAGGAGCGAAGUUAAAGUUGUAUUUCAUUAGAACACGUUACAGCUCUAAAAAGUUUUUGAAACUGUGAAAUCUCACCAGAACACAUCACCAGAACACAUCACCAGAACACAUCAGACAGCAUCCAAAUCGCAUCCCGUUGAUAAGAUUUCCGGAAGAAUCUUUGAAAGCUACUAUG